GACGAACGCUGGCGGCGUGCCUAACACAUGCAAGUCGAACGGAGUAAUUUCUUCGGAGAUUACUUAGUGGCGAACGGGUGAGUAACGCGUGAGAAACCUGCCUUUCAGUGGGGGACAACAGUUGGAAACGACUGCUAAUACCGCAUAAUGUUAUUUGGGGGCAUCCCUGAAUAACCAAAGCUUUAUGUGCUGAAAGAUGGUCUCGCGUCUGAUUAGCUAGAUGGCGGGGUAACGGCCCACCAUGGCGACGAUCAGUAGCCGGUCUGAGAGGAUGAACGGCCACAUUGGGACUGAGAUACGGCCCAGACUCCUACGGGAGGCAACAGUGGGGAGUAUUGGGCAAUGGGGGAAACCCUGACCCAGCAACGCCGCGUGAAGGAAGAAGGCCUUCGGGUUGUAAACUUCUUUUACCAGGGACGAAGAACGUGACGGUACCUGGAGAAAAAGCAACGGCUAACUACGUGCCAGCCGCCGCAGUAACAC
rnacentral:rRNA from 1 species